rnacentral:hammerhead_ribozyme from 1 species
AUCCAGCUGACAAGUCCGGGAUAGGAAGAAACGCGCGUCCAGGAU